CCUACGGGAGGCAGCAGUGAGGAAUAUUGGUCAAUGGACGUGAGUCUGAACCAGCCAAGUAGCGUGAAGGAUGACUGCCCUAUGGGUUGUAAACUUCUUUUAUAUGGGAAUAAAAUGUUCCACGUGUGGGAUUUUGUAUGUACCAUAUGAAUAAGGAUCGGCUAACUCCGUGCCAGCAGCCGCGGUAAUACGGAGGAUCCGAGCGUUAUCCGGAUUUAUUGGGUUUAAAGGGAGCGUAGGUGGAUUGUUAAGUCAGUUGUGAAAGUUUGCGGCUCAACCGUAAAAUUGCAGUUGAAACUGGGAGUCUUGAGUACGGUAGAGGUAGGCGGAAUGCGUGGUGUAGCGGUGAAAUGCUUAGAUAUCACGAAGAACUCCGAUUGCGAAGGCAGCUCACUGGGCUGCAACUGACACUGAGGCACGAAAGUGUGGGUAUCAAACAGGAUUAGAUACCCGUGUAGUC
rnacentral:rRNA from 1 species